rnacentral:rRNA from 1 species
GCGGCGUGCUUAACACAUGCAAGUCGAGCGGUAAGGCCCUUCGGGGUACACGAGCGGCGAACGGGUGAGUAACACGUGGGUAACCUGCCCUGUACUCUGGGAUAAGCCUGGGAAACUAGGUCUAAUACCGGAUAUGACCUGUCACCGCAUGGUGGUGGGUGGAAAGUUCCGGCGGUACGGGAUGGACCCGCGGCCUAUCAGCUUGUUGGUGGGGUAAUGGCCUACCAAGGCGACGACGGGUAGCCGGCCUGAGAGGGUGACCGGCCACACUGGGACUGAGACACGGCCCAGACUCCUACGGGAGGCAGCAGUGGGGAAUAUUGCACAAUGGGCGAAAGCCUGAUGCAGCGACGCCGCGUGAGGGAUGACGGCCUUCGGGUUGUAAACCUCUUUCAGCAGGGACGAAGCGUGAGUGACGGUACCUGCAGAAGAAGCACCGGCUAACUACG